rnacentral:rRNA from 1 species
UACGUAGGGUGCAAGCGUUAAUCGGAAUUACUGGGCGUAAAGCGUGCGCAGGCGGUGAUGUAAGACAGAUGUGAAAUCCCCGGGCUCAACCUGGGACCUGCAUUUGUGACUGCAUAGCUAGAGUACGGCAGAGGGGGAUGGAAUUCCGCGUGUAGCAGUGAAAUGCGUAGAUAUGCGGAGGAACACCGAUGGCGAAGGCAAUCCCCUGGGCCUGUACUGACGCUCAUGCACGAAAGCGUGGGGAGCAAACAGG